UCUUCUCCAUUGAAUUCGAUACCGACACUCCCGCACUAGUUUCUCGGCAGCUAUGGAGGCCAUAGUUCUAUACACAACACCAGCCGCCGGCCACCUGAUUCCCAUGGUAGAGCUAGGCAAACUAAUACACACCCACCAGCCUUCACUCACCAUCCACAUUCUUAUCGCUCCAGUACCGUAUGGAGCUAGCUCCACAGCUCCAAACAUAGCUGCUGUGUCUUCUACCACACCAUACAUCACUUUUCACAAUCACCCCACCAUUACUCUUCCUCCCAAUACCUCUAAUUCAAGCAUUGAAUCUCUUAUCUUUGAGUUCAUAAACCUUAACAAUCCCAAUGUCCACCAAUCUCUCCUUUCCAUUUCCAAAAGCUACAACAUCCAAGCAUUCAUCGUGGAUUUCUUUUGCUCUAAUGCUCUUUCCAUUGCAGCCAAACUCAACAUCCCCGGCUACCAUUUUUCAACUUCCGGUGCCGCUGCUCUGACUUAUAAACUAUAUCUCCCUACCAUCCAAAAAAACAGCACCAUAAAUUUCAAAGACCUCAAUAAAACCCAGAUCCUUAACGUUCCUGGAGUACCACCAUUUCAAUCUUCUGAUUUGCCAAAAAUAUUACUCAAUAACAAGUGCUUUCUAGAAUACUCAAUCACAUUGGCUAAUUCAGCAGGAAUAAUUGUCAACACCUUUGAAUCAUUGGAGCCACGAGCUAUUCAAGCAAUAGCUGAUGGGCUAUGCGUCCCGGACAAUCACACACCCCCUGUGUACUACAUAGGACCAUUAAGUCGUGGUCACAAUGAAGAUGAGGCCCUGGCACACGAGUGCUUAACGUGACUUGACUCGCAACCGAGUCAAAGUGUUGUGUUUUUGUGCUUUGGAAGCUUGGGGUUAUUCUCUAUAGAGCAGUUGAAGGAGAUAGCUUCAGGGUUGGAAAAUAGUGGGCACAGGUUCUUAUGGGUGGUGCGUAAUCCACCUAGUGGUGAUGAAAAUCAUAGCUUGGCUGUGUCAACUCAGCCUGACCCAGAUUUGGAUUCGUUACUUCCUGAGGGUUUCUUGGGUCGUACGAAAGAGAGGGGACAGGUAGUGAAGUCCUGGGCACCACAGGUGGCCGUGUUGAAUCACAACUCGGUUGGUGGGUUUGUGAGUCAUUGUGGAUGGAACUCAGUGCUUGAAGCGGUGUGUGCUGGAGUGUCAAUGGUGGCGUGGCCCCUUUACGCUGAGCAAAGGUUUAACAGGGUGGUGUUGGUGGAGGAUGUGAAAAUUGCGUUGUGGAUGAACGAGUCAAAGGACGGGUUUGUGAGUGCAACAGAGGUGGAGAAGCGAGUUAGAGAGUUAAUGGACUCAGAAAACAAUAACUCCACUGUUAGGGAACGAGUUAUUGCUUUGAAAGAAGGAGCUAAGGCUACAGUGUGUGAGGGCGGGUCAUCUCGUGUAGCAUUAAUCAAACUCGUUGAGUCGUGGAAGAACUAAGAAGCAAUAUUGAGUUUGACCUUGCUUAUACUAAGAAGCAAUAUUGAGUUUGACCUUGCUUAUCUCUGAUACCCGUGUGAAGUGGAAUGAUUUAAGUGACUUUUGUAUUGGGUCUUCAGUUCAGGGGUUCCAUGCUCAAACUGAGUUCACAAUUUAGGUUCAUUCUUUUUGCAUUUUAUUUGUUUGAUAAAUUGUCCCAAUGAAAAAAAAUUUGUGAUUUCUUUUGAAUUUGGGUAUAGACCCCCUCACGAAACUUGCUUCUUUUCAUGAGAAAAUUAUAACUCUGUCAUCAAGAUUCAUUCUUAGACAUGUUAUUAUGAAUUUUUAAAUGUGAAUUUAAAAAACCUUGUAGCAUUCAUUAU